AUUGAACGCUGGCGGCAGGCUUAACACAUGCAAGUCGAGCGGGGUGAUGGUGCUUGCACUAUCACUUAGCGGCGGACGGGUGAGUAAUGCUUAGGAAUCUGCCUAUUAGUGGGGGACAACAUCUCGAAAGGGAUGCUAAUACCGCAUACGUCCUACGGGAGAAAGCAGGGGAUCACUUGUGACCUUGCGCUAAUAGAUGAGCCUAAGUCGGAUUAGCUAGUAGGUGGGGUAAUGGCUCACCUAGGCGACGAUCCCUAGCUGGUCUGAGAGGAUGACACGCCACACUGGAACUGAGACACGGUCCAGACUCCUACGGGAGGCAGCAGUGGGGAAUAUUGCACAAUGGGCGCAAGCCUGAUGCAGCCAUGCCGCGUGUAUGAAGAAGGCCUUCGGGUUGUAAAGUACUUUCAGCGGGGAGGAAGGUGUUGAGGUUAAUAACCUCAGCAAUUGACGUUACCCGCAGAAGAAGCACCGGCUAACUCCGUGCCAGCAGCCGCCGUAA
rnacentral:rRNA from 1 species